CUGCUGCCUCCCGUAGGAGUUUGGGCCGUGUCUCAGUCCCAAUGUGGCCGUCCACCCUCUCAGGCCGGCUACUGAUCGUCGCCUUGGUGGGCCGUUACCCCGCAACAAGCUAAUCAGACGCGGGUCCAUCUUACACCACCGGAGUUUUUCACACAAAUCCAUGCGGCUUCGUGCGCUUAUGCGGUAUUAGCACCUAUUUCUAAGUGUUAUCCCCCAGUGUAAGGCAGGUUACCCACGCGUUACUCACCCGUCCGCCACUAAGA
rnacentral:rRNA from 1 species